rnacentral:rRNA from 1 species
UGGGGAAUCUUGGGCAAUGGGCGAAAGCCUGACGCAGCCAUGCCGCGUGAAUGAUGAAGGUCUUAGGAUUGUAAAAUUCUUUCACCGGGGACGAUAAUGACGGUACCCGGAGAAGAAGCCCCGGCUAACUUCGUGCCAGCAGCCGCGGUAAUACGAAGGGGGCUAGCGUUGCUCGGAAUUACUGGGCGUAAAGGGCGCGUAGGCGGACAGUUUAGUCAGAGGUGAAAGCCCAGGGCUCAACCUUGGAAUUGCCUUUGAUACUGGCUGUCUUGAGUACGGGAGAGGUGAGUGGAACUCCGAGUGUAGAGGUGAAAUUCGUAGAUAUUCGGAAGAACACCAGUGGCGAAGGCGACUCACUGGCCCGUUACUGACGCUGAGGCGCGAAAGCGUGGGGAGCAAACA